GCGGCUUCAGCGGCUACCUCACCGCGGCAGCGGUCGGUUUCCAGCUACCUUCUCGCGUCGACAGCUAAUUCCCCGCGUUGUCCGGCUACAUCCCCACGCCUCCUGCUAAAUCAGCCGCGUCUCCGGCUACAUCCACUGUAAGGGUUUGGAGUAUAAGAUCAAGAUAGUUGAGAUCGAUCUGGCAGACUGGCCGGUUUGGUACAAGGAGAAGGUUUACUCGAGGAACAAGGUGCCUUCUCUGGAGCAUAACAAACAGGAGAAAGAGAGCUUGGAUUUGGUCAAGUACAUUGACAACAAUUUCAAAGGCCCAAGCCAAUGUAGUAACAAAACGGGGGCGGCGCAUGGUUUGCCCAAAAAAGAGAAAGGAAAGAAGCAUCUGGAGUGACCAAAAUCACGAGACGGGGAGGCCGAGGCCCCGGUGACCGACGUCUCCCUCAGUUCCUCGGUUUGCCGACGUGCUCGUGGUGGAAGCCGAAGUCCACGGAGUAGCGCCGCCAGCCUGAUCAAACUAAUCGACGACGCUGGCGCUCGUACACCGCUCCGAGUCUAGAACCACCUGUAUGUCAACCAGUCGUGUCCUGUCUGCAAUUUAGAUUUUUCACCUAUUGGUUUUGAAAAUCCCAUAACUUGCAUCAGUCUAAAAAUAGGAGGCGUGCUGGAUAAUUUCUAUUCUCUUUACUUUGCUUUAGAUUUUCUCUCGGCCUUAAAAAGCAUUGACUUGCAAUUGACCUACUCAGCCAUUUGCGGCAUAUAAGCUUGACAGGGAACACAUCUAGUGGAGAGUUAGUUUUUGCGUGUUUCUUUUCUUUUUCUUUCUUUUUGAAAAGUGGUUAUGUAUUAAUUAAGAAACUGAAUUUGGAUUACACCCAAGCCGGUCUCG